GCUCGGAUGGUGGAACUGGAAUACACAAGAGACUUAAAAUCUCUCGCCCAUAGGGCGUGCCGGUUCGAUUCCGGCUGGACGCACCA
rnacentral:tRNA from 1 species